AACGCGUUAAAUCGACCGCCUGGGGAGUACGGCCGCAAGGUUAAAACUCAAAUGAAUUGACGGGGGCCCGCACAAGCGGUGGAGCAUGUGGUUUAAUUCGAUGCAACGCGAAGAACCUUACCUGGUCUUGACAUCCACAGAACUUUCCAGAGAUGGAUUGGUGCCUUCGGGAACUGUGAGACAGGUGCUGCAUGGCUGUCGUCAGCUCGUGUUGUGAAAUGUUGGGUUAAGUCCCGCAACGAGCGCAACCCUUAUCCUUUGUUGCCAGCGGUCCGGCCGGGAACUCAAAGGAGACUGCCAGUGAUAAACUGGAGGAAGGUGGGGAUGACGUCAAGUCAUCAUGGCCCUUACGACCAGGGCUACACACGUGCUACAAUGGCAUAUACAAAGAGAAGCGACCUCGCGAGAGCAAGCGGACCUCAUAAAGUAUGUCGUAGUCCGGAUUGGAGUCUGCAACUCGACUCCAUGAAGUCGGAAUCGCUAGUAAUCGUAGAUCAGAA
rnacentral:rRNA from 1 species